GUUGGUAACAAAGACGAGGAAGAUGACGACGGUGGCGCUGUUGUUGAGGCUGUCCAGGCGCUUGUGGUUGGCCUCGUCGUUGAGGUCUCGCCGAGCUACGGCAAGAUGUGUCAGUGUUUUAGUGUGUUAACAUGGCGGAUGGAUAUGAUCUAAUCAACAAGAAUGGCUCACCGAUGACAAUGAUCAGGAUCCCGGCGACUAUCUGGAGAGCCAGUGAGAAGGAGAUGAGAGUCAGGACAGCUGCGUAGUACCUGAAAAGGUCCACACCUGUAUCCCGCACCCUGCUCGAUGACGGUCUUCAUGUGUGUGAUGUUCGCCAGGAAGAGAGCAAUGUCCAGCAUCCC